rnacentral:rRNA from 1 species
UACGUAGGGUGCGAGCGUUGUCCGGAAUUAUUGGGCGUAAAGGGCUCGUAGGCGGUCUGUUGCGUCGGGAGUGAAAACUCAGGGCUUAACCCUGAGCCUGCUUCCGAUACGGGCAGACUAGAGGUAUGCAGGGGAGAACGGAAUUCCUGGUGUAGCGGUGAAAUGCGCAGAUAUCAGGAGGAACACCGGUGGCGAAGGCGGGUCUCUGGGCCGAUACUGACACUGAGAAGCGAAAGCAUGGGGAGCGAACAGG